rnacentral:rRNA from 1 species
AUUGAACGCUGGCGGCAGGCCUAACACAUGCAAGUCGAGCGGAUGAAGGGAGCUUGCUCCUGGAUUCAGCGGCGGACGGGUGAGUAAUGCCUAGGAAUCUGCCUGGUAGUGGGGGAUAACGUCCGGAAACGGGCGCUAAUACCGCAUACGUCCUGAGGGAGAAAGUGGGGGAUCUUCGGACCUCACGCUAUCAGAUGAGCCUAGGUCGGAUUAGCUAGUUGGUGGGGUAAAGGCCUACCAAGGCGACGAUCCGUAACUGGUCUGAGAGGAUGAUCAGUCACACUGGAACUGAGACACGGUCCAGACUCCUAAGGGAGGCAGCAGUGGGGAAUAUUAGACAAUGGGCGAAAGCCUGAUCCAGCCAUGCCGCGUGUGUGAAGAAGGUCUUCGGAUUGGAAAGCACUUUAAGUUGGGAGGAAGGGCAGUAAGUUAAUACCUUGCUGUUUUGACGGUACCAACAGAAUAAGCACCGGCUAACUUCGUG